AUAUGCUGAAACACACAUAUACUGAAAAUGAAAUAAUAGAGAAGAUAAGCAUAGUCCUUGCACAAGACUGAUGCACAAAAUUGUGAGGUAUUCCAUAUAAAA